rnacentral:misc_RNA from 1 species
GAUGAAGUACGCAGCGAAAUGCGAUAAGUAGUGUGAAUUGCAGAAUUCAGUGAAUCAUCGAAUCUUUGAACGCACAUUGCGCCCCUUGGUAUCCCGAGGGGCAUGCCUGUUCGAGCGUCAUUUCACCACUCAAGCCUGGCUUGGUGUUGGGCGACGUCCUCUUUGGGGACGCGCCUCGAAACGCUCGGCGGCGUGGCACCGGCUUUAAGCGUAGCAGAAUCUUUCGCUUUGGAAGUCGGGGCCCCGUCUGCCGGAAGACCUGCUCGCAAGGUUGACCUCGGAUCAGGCAGGGAUACCCGCUGAACUUAAGCAUAUCAAUAAGCGGAGGA